CCUACUCAAGUGAAGACAACAAAAAUGAAGAGCCCUAUGGUGAUCUACUUCAACUUAAUGAAUGGUGCCGUGUGUGUGACCUUCUAUGAUCUGUGCAUUUGCAGAUGCAUUAUACCACAAAAGGAAGUCAAGUUGAUUACUUGGCAUCAGCCCUUCAUCACAGAUACUACUGAAAUAAAAAACCAAGGGAAUGUGAAAAAAACGGAAGGACACUGAAGCCCGUGGGGAAAUAAUGAAGUAUAAGUGCUUCAGAGAGCAGCAAGAAAUGGAAUAAUAUUUCUUCUGUGAGGACCUCAGUAAUAACAACCCAUGAGUGAUGGGACUUAUUGCAAAUGGCAAGAGUGCUGUUGGAGAAAAAAUAAAAAAUACUACACCGUGA
rnacentral:lncRNA from 1 species